rnacentral:hammerhead_ribozyme from 1 species
AUCCAGAUGACGAGUCGCAUACGGGACUAAAUGUGCAUCCUGGAU